rnacentral:rRNA from 1 species
GAUGAACGCUGGCGGCGUGCCUAAUACAUGCAAGUCGAGCGAACGGACGCGAAGCUUGCUUCUCUGAUGUUAGCGGCGGACGGGUGAGUAACACGUGGAUAACCUACCUAUAAGACUGGGAUAACUUCGGGAAACCGUAGCUAAUACCGGAGAAUCUUUUGAACCGCAUGGUUCAAAAGUGAAAGACGGUCUUUCUGUCACUUCUAGAUGGAUCCGCGCUGCAUUAGCUAGUUGGUAAGGUAACGGCUUAUCAAGGCAACGAUGCAUAGCCGACCGGAGAGGGUGAUCGGCCACACUGGAACGUAGACACGGUCCAGACGCCUACGGGAGGCAGCAGUAGGGAAUCUGCCGCAAUGGGCGAAAGCCUGACGGAGCAACGCGGCGUGAGUGAUGACGGUCUUCGGAGCGUAAAACUCUGUUAUUAGGGAAGAACAUAUGUGUAAGUAACUGUGGACAGCUUGACGGUACCUAGUCAGAAAGCCACGGCUAACUACGUG